CAGUGAACUUGAAGAGUGGAAAAUCAUAAAUACAUAUAGGAGGAGAACUUAAUUAUCUUCUUAAUAAUGGCAGUUGCAAGGAGGAUGGUGUCCUCCAUCUCUGUGGUUUUCUUCAUGCUUCUUCUGAUCGUGGCAGAUUCCACCUUCUCAUCCUGCUAUGCAUUAACACCUAGACAAACGUGCAAUGACCUAGGAGAUUUAGCGUGCACUGACGAGACGUGCAAGAAGAUAUACGGAGACAGAUUAGAAUACUACUGCAAGCCAGGCGUCACCCCUACGGUAUGCUGCUGUAUGAACGUCACAGCAUCAGUUCCCAGUGGUGUCAAGAAUCAAAACGGCGAUACGCUUCUUAAUUAGUUAUAAUUGAUCAUGUUCCAUGUAAAGUUCGUCGAUAUGUUUGGAGUUUGGUGCCAACUCAAUAAAUAAACAUGCAUACAUAAUUUGGGUUUGUUAAUAAA